UUUGUAAGCUCCGGCUAACUCCGUGCCAGCAGCCGCGGUAAUACGGGGGGAGCAAGCGUUGUUCGGAUUUACUGGGCGUAAAGGGCGCGUAGGCGGCCACCGCAAGUCGACUGUGAAAUCUCCGGGCUUAACCCGGAACGGUCAGCCGAUACUGCGGGGCUAGAGUGCAGAAGGGGCAACUGGAAUUCUCGGUGUAGCGGUGAAAUGCGUAGAUAUCGAGAGGAACACCUGCGGCGAAGGCGGGUUGCUGGGCUGACACUGACGCUGAGGCGCGAAAGCUAGGGGAGCGAACGGGAUUAGAUACCCCGGUAGUCCUAGCCUUAAACGAUGAAUGCUUGGUGUCUGGGGUUUUAUAGUCCCCGGGUGCCGUCGCUAACGCUUUAAGCAUUCCGCCUGGGGAGUACGGUCGCAAGACUGAAACUCAAAGGAAUUGACGGGACCCGCACAAGCGGUGGAGCAUGUGGCUAAUUCGACGCAACGCGAAGAACCUUACCUGGGCUAGA
rnacentral:rRNA from 1 species